ACGAACGCUGGCGGCGUGGAUAAGACAUGCAAGUCGAACGGGAGAAUUGCUAGCUUGCUAAUAAUUCUCUAGUGGCGCACGGGUGAGUAACACGUGAGUAACCUGCCUCUUAGUGGGGGAUAGCCCUGGGAAACCGGGAUUAAUACCGCAUACGAUUGAAAGAUCAAAGCAGCAAUGCGCUAGGAGAUGGGCUCGCGGCCUAUUAGUUAGUUGGUGAGGUAACGGCUCACCAAGGCGAUGACGGGUAGCCGGUCUGAGAGGAUGUCCGGCCACACUGGAACUGAGACACGGUCCAGACACCUACGGGUGGCAGCAGUCGAGAAUCAUUCACAAUGGGGGCAACCCUGAUGGUGCGACGCCGCGUGGGGGAAUGAAGGUCUUCGGAUUGUAAACCCCUGUCAUGUGGGAGCAAAUUAAAAAGAUAGUACCACAAGAGGAAGAGACGGCUAACUCUGUGCCAGCAGCCGCGGUAAUACAGAGGUCUCAAGCGUUGUUCGGAAUCACUGGGCGUAAAGCGUGCGUAGGCUGUUUCGUAAGUCGUGUGUGAAAGGCAGGGGCUCAACCCCUGGAUUGCACAUGAUACUGCGAGACUAGAGUAAUGGAGGGGGAACCGGAAUUCUCGGUGUAGCAGUGAAAUGCGUAGAUAUCGAGAGGAACACUCGUGGCGAAGGCGGGUUCCUGGACAUUAACUGACGCUGAGGCACGAAGGCCAGGGGAGCGAAAGGGAUUAGAUACCCCUGUAGUCCUGGCAGUAAACGGUGCACGCUUGGUGUGCGGGGAAUCGACCCCCUGCGUGCCGGAGCUAACGCGUUAAGCGUGCCGCCUGGGGAGUACGGUCGCAAGAUUAAAACUCAAAGAAAUUGACGGGGACCCGCACAAGCGGUGGAGUAUGUGGCUUAAUUCGAUGCAACGCGAAGAACCUUACCUGGGCUUGACAUGUAAUGAACAACAUGUGAAAGCAUGCGACUCUUCGGAGGCGUUACACAGGUGCUGCAUGGCCGUCGUCAGCUCGUGUCGUGAGAUGUUUGGUUAAGUCCAGCAACGAGCGCAACCCCUGUUGCCAGUUACCAGCACAUCAAGGUGGGGACUCUGGCGAGACUGCCCAGAUCAACUGGGAGGAAGGUGGGGACGACGUCAGGUCAGUAUGGCCCUUAUGCCCAGGGCUGCACACGUACUACAAUGCCCAGUACAGAGGGGGCCGAAGCCGCGAGGCGGAGGAAAUCCUGAAAACUGGGCCCAGUUCGGACUGUAGGCUGCAACCCGCCUACACGAAGCCGGAAUCGCUAGUAAUGGCGCAUCAGCUACGGCGCCGUGAAUACGUUCCCGGGUCUUGUACACACCGCCCGUCACAUCAUGGAAGCCGGUCGCACCCGAAGUAUCUGAAGCCAACCGCAAGGAGGCAGGGUCCUAAGGUGAGACUGGUAACUGGGAUG
rnacentral:rRNA from 1 species